rnacentral:misc_RNA from 1 species
UUCAACCCUUAAGCCUCUGUUGCUUAGCGUUGGGAGCCUACAGCACCUGUAGCUCCUCAAAGUUAGUGGCGGAGUCGGUUCACACUCUAGACGUAGUAAUUUUAUCUCGCCUAUUAGUUGGACCGGUCUCCCGCCGUAAAACCCCUAUUUUUAAAGGUU